GGUGUGUAGGUGGCGCGCUAAGUCGGGUGUGAAAUUUCGGAGCUUAACUCCGAAACUGCAUUCGAUACUGGCGUGCUUGAGGACUGGAGAGGAGACUGGAAUUUACGGUGUAGCAGUGAAAUGCGUAGAUAUCGUAAGGAAGACCAGUGGCGAAGGCGGGUCUCUGGACAGUUCCUGACACUGAGACACGAAGGCCAGGGGAGCAAACGGGAUUAGAUACCCCGGUAGUCCUGGCAGUAAACGGUGCACGUUUGGUGUGGGAGGAUUCGACCCCUUCUGCGCCGGAGCCAACGCGUUAAACGUGCCGCCUGGGGAGUACGGUCGCAAGAUUAAAACUCAAAGAAAUUGACGGGGGCCCGCACAAGCGGUGGAGUAUGUGGCUCAAUUCGAUGCAACGCGAAGAACCUUACCAGGCCUUGACAUGCAUCUCUAAGUUGGUGAAAGCCAGCGAGUCUCGAAAGAGACAAUUUGCACAGGUGCUGCAUGGCUGUCGUCAGCUCGUGUCGUGAGAUGUUGGGUUAAGUCCCGCAACGAGCGCAACCCCUGUGAACUGUUGCCACGGAACCGAGAGGUUCCAGCACUCUGUUCAGACUGCCUCGCUUAAACGAGGAGGAAGGUGGGGACGACGUCAAGUCAGUAUGGCCCUUACGGCCUGGGCUGCACACGUACUACAAUGCCCAGUACAGAAUGAUCCGAUACCGCGAGGUGGAGGAAAUCUCACAAAACUGGGCCCAGUUCGGAUUGGAGGCUGCAAUUCGCCUCCAUGAAGCCGGAAUCGCUAGUAAUGGCGCAUCAGCUACGGCGCCGUGAAUACGUUCCCGGGCCUUGUACACACCGCCCGUCACAUCAUGAAAGCCGUUUGUACCCGAAGUCGCCCCUCAAAA
rnacentral:rRNA from 1 species